CCUGUAGUGCUUUCUUCUUACUAAGAUCGCUUGGCAACGUUUUUAUGCUGCCUGGAGCUCACUGCCACCCUUUAUAGAUACACACUGCUGAUCUCCAACCCCCAACAUGCCACUCAGGGAAGGGCAAUCCUAGCUUCCUCUUCAUAGGCCUUCAGUGCAAAACCAAAUGCACCUCAACAGAAAUAAAUGGAGUAAAUGAGGUCAGUGGUGACUCAUUCUUAGAACAAAGGAUAUGACAGGUGGAAAGCCAGAGGGUGAGCAGAAGAUAUCGAGGAAAAGAACCCUUUGGAAAACAGGAUUCCACUCAAAUUCAACUAAAACGAUGUUCUGAAUCCAAAGGUCCUGAGUCGCACGGAACAUGCUGAAUCAGCCCGCUGCAGAAAGGCAGGUCUGUGCACGCCCUACCACGGUCCUGAGUCACGCGGAAGACGCCGAAUCACCCCACUGCAGACAGGCAGGUCUGCCCGCACCCUACCGAGGUCCCCAGUUGCGCAGAACACAAGCCGAAUGAGCCUGCUGCAGACAGGCAGGUCUGUGCACGCCCUACCGAGGUCCUGAGUCGCGCGGAAGACACCAAAUCACCCCGCUGCAGAAAGGCAGCCACCUGAUUCCACACUACAAAGACGCAGAGGACACCAGACCACCAGACCAAGGUGCCUGUAACCAGCAAUGGAGUUUAGUGCUCUUCCAAAGGCAUCAACAGCCUGAGCACACUUCCUGUCUGUGGGCCCUCUCAUGUCACCCAUCGUCCCCGUUAGUGUGAUUGGCACUGCCUGAUGAUCACAUCUGCGUCACACAUCCUGUAGACCAUGUCCACAGUGGAAGCCGGGGCCCAUUUGACAGCAAGAGUCUACGCAGUCAUGAAGAUCUCCUUUGGUCCUAAUUAAAUGUGUCCUCUCUGAAAUAUGUGCCUGACAUUGAAAGUCUAGAGAUCAUGCUUUUCAACAAAGAAGUUGAAUUUCUCUGUCUUCUAUCCACUCCCUAUCAAUUACACAAUUUCCCGAGUUAUACAUCUUUUUCUUCUUUCCCCAAAUGUCCUUUUUGUAAUUUGUAGUGAUUAGUGAGGCCUACAUUUUAAAUUAACCCUCAUUUUGAUCUCUAAACAAGAUCAUGCUGUUUUUUUUGCAUGAAUCCUCAUCAGUCCAAGGACUC
rnacentral:lncRNA from 1 species